rnacentral:rRNA from 1 species
GACGAACGCUGGCGGCGUGCUUAACACAUGCAAGUCGAACGGUAAGGCCCUUCGGGGUACACGAGUGGCGAACGAGUGAGUAACACGUGGGUGAUCUACCCUGCACUUCGGGAUAAGCCUGGGUAACUGGGUCUAAUACCGGAUAGGACCCUGGGAUGCAUGUCCUGGGGUGGAAAGCUUUUGCGGUGUGGGAUGGGCCCGCGGCCUAUCAGCUUGUUGGUGGGGUGAUGGCCUACCAAGGCGACGACGGGUGGCCGGCCUGAGAGGGUGACCGGCCACACUGGGACUGAGAUACGGCCCAGACUCCUACGGGAGGCAGCAGUGGGGAAUAUUGCACAAUGGGCGCAAGCCUGAUGCAGCGACGCCGCGUGAGGGAUGACGGCCUUCGGGUUGUAAACCUCUUUCAGCACCGACGAAGCGCAAGUGACGGUAGGUGCAGAAGAAGGACCGGCCAACUACGUGCCAGCAGCCGCCGUAA